AAAGCUCGCAAGCAGAAUUCCCUACAGACGCAUCCCAACCACUGCUGAGGUUACAACGUAGAGAACCUAAGUAUUAACAUGUGGUCGAGGCUCAACCUGCGCACCGGGAUCCUGCUGACUGCCCUGUUCCUCAUGGCGAUCUACGCUCCUGCUGCUGCCACGCCCACCCCUGGCCAAGACUGCUGCCCCUACCACUCCUGGUGUUGUGUGCAGACGACAACGCUCGAUCCCUGCGCCCUGAGGUUCCCCGACUGUCAGAGAUAUCCUUAUGACGAAUGCUGUCGGCGAUAUGGGUGAGGGUUGGCGGUUGGUUGAAUAUGACUGAUGUAGGCCAAGGGGCCAAUAAAUAGAAAAUGCUAA